rnacentral:rRNA from 1 species
AAAGAAACCAACAGGGAUUGCCUCAGUAACGGCGAGUGAAGCGGCAAUAGCUCAAAUUUGAAAGCUGGCGUCUUCGAUGUCCGCGUUGUAAUUUGUAGAGGAUGCUUCGGCGAAGACUCCUGCCUAAGUCCCCUGGAACGGGGCGUCAUAGAGGGUGAGAAUCCCGUGUGUGGCGGGCAGUCUAAGCCAUGUGAAGCUCCUUCGACGAGUCGAGUUGUUUGGGAAUGCAGCUCUAAAUGGGAGGUAAAUUUCUUCUAAAGCUAAAUAUUGGCCAGAGACCGAUAGCGCACAAGUAGAGUGAUCGAAAGAUGAAAAGCACUUUGGAAAGAGAGUUAAAAAGUACGUGAAAUUGUUGAAAGGGAAGCGCUUGCAACCAGACUCGCCCGUAGUUGCUCAGCCGGCCUCUUGGCCGGUGUACUCUUCUGCGGUCGGGCCAGCAUCAGUUCGGGCGGCUGGAUAAAGGUGCCGGGAAUGUAGCACCCUUCGGGGUGUGUUAUAGCCCGGCGCGGAAUGCAGCCAGCCUGGACUGAGGAUCUCGCUUCGGCAAGGAUGCUGGCGUAAUGGUUGUAAGCGGCCCGUCUUGAAACACGGACCAAGGAGUCUAACAUCUAUGCGAGUGUUUGGGUGUCAAACCCAUGCGCGUAAUGAAAGUGAACGGAGGUGGGAACCCUUUACGGGGUGCACCAUCGACCGAUCCUGAUGUCUUCGGAUGGAUUUGAGUAAGAGCAUAGCUGUUGGGACCCGAAAGAUGGUGAACUAUGCCUGAAUAGGGUGAAGCCAGAGGAAACUCUGGUGGAGGCUCGCAGCGGUUCUGACGUGCAAAUCGAUCGUCAAAUUUGGGUAUAGGGGCGAAAGACUAA